GUCUUCCGGCUUCUUUCUCAUUGCAAGCUCUCUUCUCUCCAUAUCUCUUCAUCUCAUCUCGUCGUUUUUUUUUCUCUUUCUCUCUUUCUCUUUCGUUCCUCCUACUCCUGCUUGCCUCCUACUCGACCUUCCUUUGGGCCUCUUGCCCCUGAUCACUUCAAGUCUUCCUCUGACUGCGUUUUAACCUGGUCGGACAAUCCACGCUCCACUUCUUCGGCAGUCUCCCAGAUACCUUUUGUUGAAUUAGAUCAUUGGUACCCUUCGACCUUAAUUCCUCUCUUUUCUUAUCAAUCGCCUAUUCCUUAGUGCUGAUAUUCCCUUUUAUUUUUAUUUUUCUCCUUUUCGUCGUUUUUCCUUUUUUUCUAUUUUCUCAUUCUCUUCCUACCCCCACCUUCGGAAUCCUCGUGGUCCUUUCGCCAAGUUCCGCCGGAAGGAACUCUCGGAAGUACAACUUCAAGUUUUUCUCUCUCAAUAUUUUUUCACCUUUGGACAAUUUUUGUUUAUUCUCACCCCUUGAGAAAAUUUAAUUGUUUUCCUCUUUUCGGAAAAAAUUUUUGAAAUAAAUUUUCAAAAUUCAAGUGUUUCAAGACGGCAGUGCUUUUAUUAAUAGAAAGUGAGUUUUUUUUUUUAGAAUAAAAAAGUGGUUUUUUGAUGAGAUUAAAUUGAGUGGGGGAGGAGGAGGGGGAUAAUAUUUGACUAGGAUUUUGUUUUCCUUGGGAAUUGUGAUAUGAAAGUGAGCAUUUAUUUCUCAAGGUGUCAACAACUGUGUGCAAUUGUGUGUCGAAUUCACUGACAUUGUCGUCGAUAGUGUAAGAGUGGAAAAUUGAAUUUAGUUGAGCGCCUUGGCACGUGCUUCUGACAGUAAAACGUCUACGGGAUAGAGUACUAUACGCAAGAGAAGGGAAUAUUUCAUGAAUGGAGAAAUUUUUUUUCAACCCAUAGUGCUUGUCGAAUAUUGAGAGGGAGCUUGUUAAAAAAUGAUGGUGAAUUAUUGCGCAAUUGUGCCUUGUGUUUCGUGUGGAAUUUAUCGCUGAAGGAUUUUCAAAUUUUUGAAACGAAGGGGAGAAUCGAGAUCAAUCGUUGAAAAUUCAGCAAUAACUGGAAGCAGAAAUGAGAUAUCGCUUGUCGCAACUUUCGCUUUGCAAUCGAGAAUAUCCAUUUCUCGGUGU